rnacentral:rRNA from 1 species
CCCUUAGAUGUUCUGGGCAGCACGCGCGCUACAAUGGUCUUCGCAAACGGAUGCAUUCUCGAAGGAGAAUGCCAAUCUUGGAAUCUAUGCCUUGGUCGGGACAGUUGCUUGCAAUUUUUCGACUCGAACCAGGAAUUCCUUGUAAUCGUGAUUCAUCACAUCACGAUGAAUACGUCCCUGCCCUUUGUACACACCGCCCGUCGCUCCUACCGAUCGAAGAGUUAGGUGAAUUGUUUUGAUAGAUAAGAUUUGACUAUGGUCAACUCUCGUUGUGAAAUUCUGUGAAUCUGACUGUUUAGAGGAAGGAAAAGUCGUAACA